rnacentral:rRNA from 1 species
AUUGAACGCUGGCGGCAGGCCUAACACAUGCAAGUCGAGCGGACGAGUGGAGCUUGCUCCAUGAUUCAGCGGCGGACGGGUGAGUAAUGCCUAGGAAUCUGCCUGGUAGUGGGGGACAACGUUUCGAAAGGAACGCUAAUAGCGCAUACGUCCUACGGGAGAAAGUGGGGGAUCUUCGGACCUCACGCUAUCAGAUGAGCCUAGGUAGGAUUAGCUAGUUGGUGAGGUAAAGGAUCACCAAGGCGACGAUCCGUAACUGGUCUGAGAGGAUGAUCAGGCAAACUGGAACUGAGACACGGUCCAGACUCCUACGGGAGGCAGCAGUGGGGAAUAUUGGACAAUGGGCGAAAGCCUGAUCCAGCCAUGCCGCGUGUGUGAAGAAGGUCUUCGGAUUGUAAAGCACUUUAAGUUGGGAGGAAGGGCAGUAAGUUAAUACCUUGCUGUUUUGACGUUACCAACAGAAUAAGCACCGGCUAACUUCGUGCCAGCCGCCGCCGUAACAC